AUUGAACGCUGGCGGCAGGCCUAACACAUGCAAGUCGAGCGAGCGGCGGACGGGUGAGUAAUGUCUGGGAAACUGCCUGAUGGAGGGGGAUAACUACUGGAAACGGUAGCUACUACCGCAUACCAUCAGAUGUACCCAUAUGGGAUUAGCUUGUGGGUGUGGUAAAGGCUCACCUGGGCGACGAUCCCUAGCUGGUCUGAGAGGAUGAUCAGCCACACUGGACCUGAGACACGGCCCAGACUCCUACGGGAGGCAGCAGUGGGGAAUAUUGCACAAUGGGCGCAAGCCGGAUGCAGCCAUGCCGCGUGUAUGAAGAAGGCCUUCGGGUUGUAAAGUACUUUCAGUGGGGAGGCGUUACCGACAGAAGAAGCACCGGCUAACUCCGUGCCAGCAGCCGCGGUAAUUC
rnacentral:rRNA from 1 species